rnacentral:Y_RNA from 1 species
GACUUGAGAGUAGUGAGUUAUCUCGAUUGAUUAUUCAUAGUCAGUUACAGAUCAAAUUCUUUGUUCUACUCUUCCCCCUUCUCACUACUAUACUGGACUAGUCUUAA